UGGGCCGAUCGCAUGGCCUUGAGCCGGCKACGUAUCCUUCCAAGGUGUGCCCUAUCAACUGUCGACUGUGGUAUAGACGUCCACAGUGGUUUUGACGGGUAACGGGGAAUUAGGGUUCGAUUCCGGAGAGGGAGCCUGAGAAACGGCUACCACUUCUACGGAAGGCCUCAGGCAGCAAAUUACCCCCUGGUGAAGGCCGAGGUAGUGACGAAAAAUAACGAUACCGGACUCAUCCGAGGCCCGGUAAUCGGAAUGAGUACACUUUAAAUCCUUUAACGAGGAUCAAUUGGAGGGCAAGUCUGGU
rnacentral:rRNA from 1 species